GUCCACGCCGUAACGUUGGGCACUAGGUGUGGGACUCUAUCGACGGGUUCCGUGCCGUAGCUAACGCAUUAAGUGCCCCGCCUGGGGAGUACGGCCGCAAGGCUAAACUCAAAGGAAUUGACGGGGCCCGCACAAGCGGCGGAGCGUGUGGCUCAAUUCGAUGCAACGCGAAGAACCUUACCUGGGCUUGACAUGUACGGUAAAGCGGGUGAAAGCCCGUGUGCUUCGGCGCCGUACACAGGUGGUGCAUGGCUGUCGU
rnacentral:rRNA from 1 species